CUACGCUACCUCCUCGCGGACUACAUGCCGUUCUCGGGUAGAGGUUGAUACUCAGCUCGAGGAGGCCUAUGCAGUAGCUUACGAGGAGUAUCUCGAGAAGGUUAAGGAGCAUGACCUUGUGAAAGAUGCCUAUGUCCAGUGGACGAGCAACCAGAUGGCGAGUUUCACUCGGUUCAUGAUGACUGGAGUGCGAGAGGAACCACUCCCAGAGCCACCUCAUCCGGGGCCGACGCCAGUGUUCCCGUCCAAGGAGGAGUUCUAUAUCAUGUACAAGCGUCAGCGUCAGUUGACCCCGGGAUUGGGAGAAUCCGGGAACGACACUCCUUGUGGUACGCCGAUGCACCCCGGUCGCCAUUCUCCUGGU